ensembl:snRNA U6 U6 spliceosomal RNA
GUGCUCCAUUCAGCAGCACAUAUACUAAAGUGGAAUGAUAUGGAGAAGACUAUCAUAGUGCCAGCACAAGAAUGACAUGCAAAUUUGUGAAGCAUUUCAUAUUUAA